CGCAAACUACCACGUCGUUGUGGGAGGGAUUGCCAAAGUGUUCCCUGCCAUACCCCUGCUUAGACGACAGGGAAUCGCUUCUGUUCUGCUGGCCUACCUCAAAAGCUCUACCUCUGUCAUCAACAAGCCAGCUUGCAGGAUGGGACUCGAGACCGAUGUUGAAUGGAUUGAAACAAACCUGGGACCCUUUUCUCAAUACACAACUUACUCUGACCUCAAAGCCUUCAACCUCUCCCAGGCAACAGUCGUAGGUGCCCUCACAGAGCAACAGAAGGCAGAGCUAAUACUGGAUCCAGGCAGCG